CGUCGUUAGCAUCACACAGGUUGAAUGAUUCAACUUGAGUCAUUUGACAUUUCCAGAUAUUUUUAUUUGCGAUUUUCUCUUCGACAGUCACAACAAACAAGAAUUCUUUAAAAAAUAGUGAUAUUUGUUAAUAUACAAGAAGAUGUCUGUUAAUACAGCACACGCCAAUAAUGGCGUUUUAAUACACGCUGGAGAAUACAUAUUACUUCAUAGUGACAAUGUAACAAUGGAAUUUUCUGGUCAAGAUAAUCCCGUCUUUAGGGGUACCAAGGCUGGAAGAAUUUAUUUAACAUCUCAUCGCGUCAUCUUUAAUAGCAAGAAAUCUGGCGAUGAAAUGCAAUCAUUUAGCGCCCCUUUUAUAGCUAUGAGUGAUGUGGAUUUGGAACAACCAGUUUUCGGUGCGAACUACAUUAAAGCCAAGGUACGCGCCCAACCCAAUGGUAACUUUAUCGGCGAAGUGAAAUUCAAGCUGUACUUCAAAUCUGGCGGUGCUAUUGAGUAUGGCAUGGCUUUGUUGCGUGCAGCUAAAACAGCUCAAGAGAAUUAUCAUCGUGGUGGCAGAUUUGCUGAUGAUCCCCCACCAUAUACACCUUCGGGCAAUUGGCAUGAGGCUCCUCCACCAGCUUAUCAGCCACCACCGGGUUACUACGGUUGGUUGCCGCAGCAUGAGGCUUUUAGUGGCCCAGCUCCCAAUAGUGUUUAUCAGAGCGAUAGUCCACCACCAUAUCCUGGUAUUGGAGGACCUCCAGCUUACGGUGCUCCCGCGGAUAAUGCUCCUCCCUAUGGAGCACCAACAGGUGGCUAUGGUGGCGGUCCUGGAUACGGUGGUGCUCCGGGUUAUGGCGGCGCUCCAGGAUACGGCGGACCGCCAGGAUUUUCUGCCCCAGGAGGUUAUGGAGCUCCAGGAUAUGGAGCUCCCCCAUAUGGGGCCCUCGCAUAUGGCGAUCAACCGCAACAGCCUUUAUAUCCUUCUGUGCCGCCAGUACCACAAUCUCAGCCCUACAAUCCAACACAACCACAGCCUUAUAAUCCUUCGGCACCAAAUAAUCAAGGUUGGGGUGGUUUCUCUGCACCAUCAGCGGAACAAUCGCAACCACAACAACAGCAGCAGCCACAACAACGCAAUGCCUCAAAUAAUUCCUCGCAACAGCGAGAAGAACCACCAUCUUGGAAUGGCUUCUCAUUGCCACCCGAUGAUGAUGAACCACCACAACGUCAACAGAAUCAACAGCAACAUUCAUCGGCUCCGCCACAUGGAGGUGGGUAUACUGCAGGGCCAUUAAAUGGAGCAGCGCCUGCUCCUCCUUAUCCACCAUAUCCUAGUUAUCCUCCAUCGAAUGCUUAUCCUCCAUAUCCACCACAGCCAUAUCAAGGUGGUGGUGGCGGAGGAUUGCCUCCUUAUCCUCCAGCUGGUGGGCCUCCAGCUAUGGGUUUCACUGCACCUCCUCAUCAUUACUAAGGCAGACUGUUACUGCUACUAGUAAAUUUUUCAACGAUAUUAAAAAGUCAUGUCCCAACUGGAAAUGUAUAUUUUUAACAUAAAGGUAGCACGGUUUAUUACCACUACUAUUACUUUCCUCAACAAACAACAGGAUAUUUGUUUGUGCCUGUCUUACUUCCAUGUUAAUCCUU